UACGAAGGGGGCUAGCGUUGCUCGGAAUUACUGGGCGUAAAGCGCACGUAGGCGGUCUUUUUAAGUCGGGGGUGAAAUCCUGGAGCUCAACUCCAGAACUGCCUUCGAUACUGGAAGACUUGAGUCCGGGAGAGGUGAGUGGAACUGCGAAGUGUAGAGGUGAAAUUCGUAGAUAUUCGCAAGAACACCAGUGGCGAAGGCGGCUCACUGGCCCGGUACUGACGCUGAGGUGCGAAAGCGUGGGGAGCAAACAGG
rnacentral:rRNA from 1 species